rnacentral:tRNA from 1 species
CGGGGCGUGGCUCAGAGGUCAAGAGCGCCUGGUUCGGGACCAGGAGGUCGGAGGUUCAAAUCCUCUCGCCCCGACCA